rnacentral:rRNA from 1 species
AGUGAACGCUGGCGGUAGGCCUAACACAUGCAAGUCGAACGGCAGCACAGUAAGAGCUUGCUCUUACGGGUGGCGAGUGGCGGACGGGUGAGGAAUACAUCGGAAUCUACUUUUUCGUGGGGGAUAACGUAGGGAAACUUACGCUAAUACCGCAUACGACCUACGGGUGAAAGCAGGGGAUCUUCGGACCUUGCGCGGUUGAAUGAGCCGAUGUCGGAUUAGCUAGUUGGCGGGGUAAAGGCCCACCAAGGCGACGGUCCGUAGCUGGUCUGAGAGGAUGAUCAGCCACACUGGAACUGAGACACGGUCCAGACUCCUACGGGAGGCAGCAGUGGGGAAUAUUGGACAAUGGGCGCAAGCCUGAUCCAGCCAUACCGCGUGGGUGAAGAAGGCCUUCGGGUUGUAAAGCCCUUUUGUUGGGAAAGAAAAGCAGCGGGUUAAUACCCCGCUGUUCUGACGGUACCCAAAGAAUAAGCACCGGCUAACUUCGUG